CUCAGAAAUUACAUAGCAUUUGUCAAGGAUAUAAGAGGGACUGUGCCACAUCUGGCUGUAUAGAAGGUGGUUCCAUAUCUUUAAAUAGAGCCCCAGGUCCUUAGCCACCAGAAAGGUUUUCAGGGGAAGUGUGCACCCUCAGCAGCUGCUGCUGGUGGGCAGGAUGGGCACGCAUGGAACAGGCUUUCCUCUGUGGCCAGGUGAGAAGCAGGUGGUGAGACACAGAGCAGUGCUGGGCUCUGCUUCUGAAGCCUCCAACCUUUCCUUCCCUAGGAAGCCCCAGAGAGAUUGGUGAGGGUGAUUUCCCAGGAAGACGCAGUGUGCUCUGACUUCUGUGACAGUGAGCAACGGGACCAGUGGAUGUCCAGAUGCUGGCAAUGAGACAUGCUCUGGAGUCAGAAGACAGCGAAAAGAGAAGCAGAAGCCCCGGUGGCAAGAGUCUGAAGGUGGGUUCCUUCCUGACAUGGGCAUUGGGCUGCGCAUGUGUGUUCGCAGUUCUUUCCAGCUGCUGUUCUGACCUCUUUGUGCAGUGUAUUUAUGUGGCUGUAGAUGGAUGGUCCAAGGUAGAUUUAGGUUUUGGAAUACUGUUUUUUUUUUCUACUUCAGGGAGAAAAUAACCCAGUUUGGGAAGGACAUUUAAAAGGGGAAAAUAUUAGGUAUGAUGGCACACCUGCAGUCCCAGCUAUUCGGGAGGCUAAGGCUGGAG
rnacentral:lncRNA from 10 species